GUCUGACUUUCUCUUUUUUUAUUUCUAUCUGCAGUGAUUUCUCAACAUGUCUUCCGAUGGGCCACUGUGAAUUUCAGCAUCAGUCACCAGCUUCUACUUGCACAUGAAAUGCAUAGUCCCCACUCCCAGCUUUUCAGAGUGCCACACGUCUGGAAGCAGCCUCCUGAUGCUCCCAGCUCCUUUUGGCUGUUCAGGGUUUCCUUCCCUAGCUUGUUCUCAGAUGUGGCCAAGCAUCGCUCUUCACCAGGAGCACUAAAGUAAAAGAACCAUCAACACAAGUGACAUGUCAUAGCAGGAGCUGGCACAGCCUCACCAGCCCAUGCCCGGCCAGACUAGGAGCAUCGGCCGC
rnacentral:lncRNA from 1 species